rnacentral:rRNA from 1 species
CCUACGGGGGGCAGCAGUGAGGAAUAUUGGUCAAUGGACGAGAGUCUGAACCAGCCAAGUAGCGUGAAGGAUGACUGCCCUAUGGGUUGUAAACUUCUUUUAUAUGGGAAUAAAAUGUUCCACGUGUGGGAUUUUGUAUGUACCAUAUGAAUAAGGAUAGGCUAACUCCGUUCCAGCAGCCGCGGUAAUACGGAGGAUCCGAGCGUUAUCCGGAUUUAUUGGGUUUAAAGGGAGCGUAGGUGGAUUGUUAAGUCAGUUGUGAAAGUUUGCGGCUCAACCGUAAAAUUGCAGUUGAAACUGGCAGUCUAGAGUACAGUAGAGGUGGGUGGAAUUCGAGGUGUAGCGGUGAAAUGCUUAGAUAUCACGAAGAACUCCGAUUGCGAAGGCAGCUCACUGGACUGCAACUGACACUGAGGCUCGAAAGUGUGGGUAUCAAACAGGAUUAGAUACCCUAGUAGUC